CAAUUCCGGACCGGUUUGGAGACGUGAACUGGUAAAUGGUCUGAGACCCGGAUUUGACAGGCCCGAACCUGGUUCCAAACCGGCAACAGCCGGAUCCAUCCCAAGCACUAAAGCAAGUUCUAAGAUAGCCAUAAUCACCUCAAGUUAUGAUCUUCAUUACAGGUAUUUAACGUUAUGUUAGUAUAAAGUUUCGACAUGACCCUGCAUUCCAAGCCAACUGAAAAAAUAAUUAUAAUAAUAGAACUCAAAUCUGCUUUCUGUAAACCAAUCCCUGUUUGCAACCUCUACAAGCUAAUUGAUUGCGGCAUAGAACAUGGUCCCAAAAUGUAUAAGGUGAUAUGCAAAUCUACACACGAUGAUCAGACUGAGCUCAGUCCCACCUCAAAAUGAGUACUCUUUUAAAUCUGCUUUUGAGUCAUCCAGGUCCACAUCUGCUAAGCACUCUUCCGCUGUGAGAGGUGGGAGUUGCUUGGUCUUGCGCUUCAAAUUAUGUUUGUGCCACUCACUCUUAAAGUGAUCCCUGUACUGUUUGGCAUCCCCAACAAAUGCAUUGCAUGUGUUGCACUUGUGUUGCUUUGCCUCCCCCUCAGUAUUCUUUUCCGUAGAGACUGUCUGCUUUUGCAAUUUCUCACUCAGUUGGACCACAGAAUCAGUAGACUCCUUAGGUAGGCUUGAUGGCACAUCUUCAUGAUCAUCGUAAUCAUCUACACUGGUGUCCCCUUCAAAAUGCACAGACAUUGCAAGAAUUUCCAGCCUGCCCUGCAGAUUCCUCACCAUGACAUCACACUCCCGAAAGAAGCCUGGGUCUAAUUCACAAAUAACAGAGAGCUGACUUCCAGAUUCAUCCUUUGAAACAAUGGUGGCAUACCAAGCAUUUAACUUUUCUAGAAGAGUAGAAAGAUUUGGUUUGGCAAUAAUAAGUCGCAAUCUCAUUGGAGAACGCUUUAUUGGGAAGUGCUUUUGAAGCUCACGAAUAACUUCUAGUGCCUGCUUCUUGGAGCUGCUAUGUGGAUCAACAGCAAAGUGAAUUUCAUGCAUGAGUCGCUCAAUCAUGCUAAUAGUGUAAGGGCGUUGAGUUUCAGCAUUAAUUGUUUUCUGCAUAACAAUGGUUGCUAUAUCCCGAAACUGACUGGAUAACUGAGAUUCCCUCUCUUUCCCAGCAACUUGGAGCUCACCUUUCUCCAAUAUCUCAAGACAUAUUUUGGUCUGAUCAUCAGUUUUAAAGGCUAACAUUAAAUCCUUGGACUUUGCAAGAAUUCCUUUGGAAACAUUUGAAUAAACGGUAUGUGACUGCAGCACUUCAUCCAAAUCUUUCUCUACGCCAGAGCGCCAAGAGAGGACCUUGUUCUUGUAGCAAGCAAUCUCGAAGCGAAUACCAUGCUUCUUUAAUCGAACCACCGCCACGUUCGUUAGCCUCUUUUGCCCUAUCGGCUGCUGCAGCACUUUCGACAUUUCUAUUGGCUGGCUAUCGUCUAUUGGUUGGUUGGUGGAUUCUCCGAUCUUCUCUUCUUUAACUUCAAUGCGUUGAGGCACCGCCACAACAGUCUUCUCCUCCCUUUUUCGCCUGUUAUUAUGGCCGGUUUCGAGUAUCUUUCCCAAUUUUAAUGGCGUUAGGGGUGGAUCAUUUUCUGUUAGGCCUAACCCAUCUCAAACCUAACGGCCCACAGCCCAUCCCAUGGGUUAAUGUUACUUGACUUUUCUGCAACUGCUACUGCUCGACUGCUUCGUACUGUUUGUUCUCUCUCUGGAUGGGAAAAGGCGAAAAUCUAUAUAUGAUUUGCUCACAAUGCCCCAAUGAAGGGCUGAAACAUCCUAUUUGUGAUUUGCUCGUUAUGCCCACAACUUAGGUCGUUUUGUGGGUUCCUG
rnacentral:misc_RNA from 1 species